rnacentral:rRNA from 1 species
AGUGGAUGGGGAGCAACCUAGUUGUGCGUGUGUAAAGGUAGUGCCAAGAAAAGCGAUGAUCAUGUUGAAAAUCAAUUCCCGGUACCCGAAACCGACACAGGUGGGCAAGUAGAGAAUACUAAGGGGCGCGAGGUAACUCUCUCCAAGGAACUCGGCAAAAUGACCCCGUAACUUAGGGAGAAGGGGUGCCACCGAGAGGUGGUCGCAGUGAAGAGGCCCAGGCGACUGUUUAGCAAAAACAUAGGUCUCUGCAAACUCGAAAGAGGAGGUAUAGGGGCUGACGCCUGCCCAGUGCCGGAAGGUUAAAGAAGUUGGUCAGUUUUAGGAUGAAGCUAGCGACUGAAGCCCCGGUGAACGGCGGCCGUAACUAUAACGGUCCUAAGGUAGCGAAAUUCCUUGUCGGGUAAGUUCCGACCCGCACGAAAGGCGUAACGAUCUGGGCGCUGUCUCGGAGAGAGGCUCGGCGAAAUAGGAUUGUCUGUGAAGAUACGGACUACCUGCAUUUGGACAGAAAGACCCUAUGAAGCUUUACUAUAGCUUGGAAUUGUGUUCGGGCUUCCUGUGCGCAGGAUAGGUGGGAGGCGUAGAAGGUAUUCUUGUGGGGAUACUGGAGCCAACGGUGAGAUACCACUCUCAGGAGGCUAGAAUUCUAACUUAAUUAAGGACAGUUUCAGGUGGGUAGUUUGACUGGGGCGGUCGCCUCCAAAAAGGUAACGGAGGCGUACAAAGGUUCCCUCAGACUGGUUGGAAAUCAGUCGAAGAGUGCAAAGGCAGAAGGGAGCUUGACUGCGAGAAGUACAGUUCGAGCAGGGUGGAAACACGGUCUUAGUGAUCCGACGGUGCUGUGUGGAAGGGCCGUCGCUCAACGGAUAAAAGUUACUCUAGGAUAACAGGCUGAUCUCCCCCAAGAGUUCACAUCGACGGGGAGGUUUGGCACCUCGAUGUCGGCUCAUCGCAACCUGGGGCGGAAGUACGUCCCAAGGGUUGGGCUGUUCGCCCAUUAAAGCGGUACGUGAGCUGGGUUCAGAACGUCGUGAGACAGUUCGGUCCAUAUCCGAUGUAGGCGUGAGAAUAUUGAGAGGAGCCUUCCUUAGUACGAGAGGACCGGGAAGGACGCACCGCUGGUGUACCUGUUAUGAUGCCAAUUGUAAACGCAGGGUAGCCAAGUGCGGAGAGGAUAACCGCUGAAAGCAUCUAAGUGGGAAGCCCACCUCAAGAUGAGUAUUCUGGUGUAAGGUCACGGGAAGACGACCCGUAAAUAGGCACGAGGUGGAAGUGCAGAGAUGUAUGAAGCCGAAGUGUACUAAUAGACCGUCGGCUU